UACGUAGGGUCCAGCGUUGUCCGGAAUUAUUGGGCGUAAAGGGCUCGUAGGCGGUUUCGUCACGUCGGGGAGUGAAAACUCGGAGCUUAACUCCGAGCCUGCUUCCGAUACGGGGCAGACUAGAGGUAGGCAGGGGAGAGCGGAACUCCUGGUGUAGCGGUGGAAUGCGCAGAUAUCAGGAAGAACACCGGUGGCGAAGGCGGCUCUCUGGGCCUUACCUGACGCUGAGGAGCGAAAAGCGUGGGUAGCGAACAGG
rnacentral:rRNA from 1 species